CUCAUCUGGAUCCACCAUGGCCUGGGCACCUCUGCUCCUUGCGGUGCUCACCUACUGCUCAGGGGCCAGCGCCCAGCCCACGCUGACUCAGCCGCCUUCAGACUCAGUGUCCCUGGGAAACACUGUGAAGUUCUCCUGCACCCUGAGCAGUCAGCACAGCAGCUACGUUGUUGGAUGGUAUCAACAAAGGGAUGGCCAGGCCCCUAAGUUCCUUUGGCACACUUCCGGCACCAAAGGAGAAGGGGUCCCAGAUAGAUUCACUAUUUCUGACUCUGGAGCCAUUCGCUAUUUAACCAUCACCAACGUCCAGCCAGAGGACGAGGCCACUUACUACUGUGGUGCAUAUUACAGCAUUGGUAGCAGCUACGGGUAACUCACCAUGUCACAGUCAGAGGGGGAACUGAGACAAAAACCCUCCCUUCUCCAGCCUCGCUCUGCUGGAUCCCACACUCUCUGCAGAACUUUGCAUUUUACUUUCAAUAAACCAGCUGAUGUUUGGUCACAGAGAGUUCCAGCUUCCCACAGUCUGAGAGGAGACUUCUGUGUCAUGAUUAUGAGGGUUAGCCAGCAGC